CAGGUUGACCAGGCGGUCGCUCCGCUGCUCCGGCAGCGGGGAGGAAAGUCCGCCCUCCACAGGGCACGGUGCUGGCUAACGGCCAGGCGGGGCAACCCGACGGAAAGCGCAACAGAGAGGGGUAUUGCCCUGCGCGAGCGGGGCGAGGGUGAAACGGUGGUGUAAGAGACCACCGGCGCGGGCAGUGAUGUCCGCGGCCAGGCAAACCCCACCGGGAGCAAGGCCAAGCAGGCGCAUUGGGGCGGCCCGUCCCAUAAAAAGCGCCGGGUGUGCUGCUCGACUCCGGUUGGUAACGGCCGGGGCAGAUAGAUGAUCGCCGCCCCGCAAGGGGAACAGAAGGCGGCUUACGAGUUGACCUGAACA
rnacentral:RNase_P_RNA from 1 species